rnacentral:rRNA from 1 species
UACAGAGGUCCCAAGCGUUGUUCGGAUUCACUGGGCGUAAAGGGUGCGUAGGUGGUCGGGUAAGUCUGAUGUGAAAUCUCCGAGCUCAACUCGGAAAUGGCAUUGGAUACUAUUCGGCUAGAGGGUUUGAGGGGGACUGGAAUACUUGGUGUAGCAGUGAAAUGCGUAGAUAUCAAGUGGAACACCAGUGGCGAAGGCGAGUCCCUGGAAAACUCCUGACACUGAGGCACGAAAGCUAGGGGAGCAA